ACAUGCAAGUCGAGCGGGGUUUCGGACCUAGCGGCGGACGGGUGAGUAAUGCGUAGGAAGCUACCCGAUAGAGGGGGAUACCAGUUGGAAACGACUGUUAAUACCGCAUAAUGUCUACGGACCCAAAAGUGUGGGACCUUCGGGCCACAUGCUGUCGGAUGCGCCUACGUGGGAUUAGCUAGUUGGUGAGGUAAUGGCUCACCAAGGCGACGAUCCCUAGCUGGUUUGAGAGGAUGAUCAGCCACACUGGAACUGAGACACGGUCCAGACUCCUACGGGAGGCAGCAGUGGGGAAUAUUGGACAAUGGGCGCAAGCCUGAUCCAGCCAUGCCGCGUGUGUGAAGAAGGCCUUCGGGUUGUAAAGCACUUUCAGCGAGGAGGAAGGGUUGUGUGUUAACUUAAGCCCACAUAGCCUUGACGUUACUCGCAGAAGAAGCACCGGCUAACUCUGUG
rnacentral:rRNA from 1 species